GGGUCAGUAGGUUGGUCGUGCCACCGGUACGUACUGGUCUCACUGAUUCCUCCUUCCUGAAGAACCGUAAUGCCAUUAAUUUAGUGUUGCGGGGAAACAGGACUGUUACUUUGAAAAAAUUAGAGUGUUUAAAGCAAGCUAACGCUUGAAUACAUUAGCAUGGAAUAGUGAAAUAGGACGAUCGAUCCUAUUUUGUUGGUUUCUAGGAUUGACGUA
rnacentral:rRNA from 1 species